UGGGGAAUUUUGGACAAUGGGCGAAAGCCUGAUCCAGCAAUGCCGCGUGUAUGAAGAAGGCCUUCGGGUUGUAAAGCACUUUUGUCCGGAAAGAAAUCCUUGGCUCUAAUACAGUCGGGGGAUGACGGUACCGGAAGAAUAAGCACCGGCUAACUACGUGCCAGCAGCCGCGGUAAUACGUAGGGUGCAAGCGUUAAUCGGAAUUACUGGGCGUAAAGCGUGCGCAGGCGGUUUGCUAAGACCGAUGUGAAAUCCCCGGGCUCAACCUGGGAACUGCAUUGGUGACUGGCAGGCUAGAGUAUGGCAGAGGGGGGUAGAAUUCCACGUGUAGCAGUGAAAUGCGUAGAGAUGUGGAGGAAUACCGAUGGCGAAGGCAGCCCCCUGGGCCAAUACUGACGCUCAUGCACGAAAGCGUGGGGAGCAAACAGGAUUAGAUACCCUGGUAGUCCACGCCCUAAACGAUGUCAACUAGUUGUUGGGGAUUCAUUUCCUUAGUAACGUAGCUAACGCGUGAAGUUGACCGCCUGGGGAGUACGGUCGCAAGAUUAAAACUCAAAUGAAUUGACGGGGUCAUAGCUGUUUCCU
rnacentral:rRNA from 1 species